GAGGGGAGGAUAACGUCCUAUUGGUAAGUGCACAAAUGGUUAUGACUUCGCGAGAUUUGGUAUUUCUUAUUUAUCUAGUUCAAUAUUAAAAUGCAUUAACACAACUUUAUAUUGAUUUCAUAUGUUUUAUAUAAAUAAGGUAUUGGACAGUUCAUAUUAAUGACCAGUUUGUUAAAAUUGAAGUUUUUAUUUUAUUUUUUUCCCUACACUUUUAGGGACAAUAGUACCUUUCGAGGAUCUGGUAUUUUUGGGGAAUUCAGACUUUAUAGUUUCUUUUAUUUAACAGAUUUACGAUUUUUAAGGGAGAGGUUGGAAAAAUAAAGCAUUAAGAAGUGAAAUCAUAUCUGUUGAAUAAAAAAAACCCAAUGAAACCGUCAAUAAAGGGAGCUACUAUUUGAUUUUUAUUUUGGGGGAGGGGCUAGGAUGAAUAAUUUUGUCCUGCAUUUUUUUGUUGAACUCUCUAUCCUGUGUUUUUAUUUUUACUCUAUUCGGUCCUCCUUUUUUUCAUCCUGAUUUUUUUUUACAUAAAUUGUCAUCCUGCCUUUUUGUUUGGCCAAGAUGUUCAUCCGGCCUUUUUUUUUACUCAAAUCUCCUGUCCUGCCUUUUUCCAAACAUCUCCCCUUAUCAUAGAUCCCUUAUUGAUACGUUUGGCUCAACACAACUUCUUCGACCAACUUCAAUAAUACAUGUCAUAUACCGUAUAAAUGUAAUAAUUUGUAGCUUGAAAAAUCUAAUAUGAACGUGUAUACCAUCUAUUUCAACUUUUCCUUCUUUACAUAGAUAGUCAACCCAUGGUAAAUAUAGGCAACAGUAGUUCGGUGGCGUAUUCAGAGAUUUUCCAAAAGGGAUUGGGGACUGGCUGCCUAAGAGUAGGCCCGCUACAGUCAUGCUUCAUUGAUUCCCUAUACAAUCAACCAAAUUUCCCCCACAAAAAGGUGAUGCGAGAACCUUGACACUCCCUCGAAGUCCACCUCUGUAGUCUUCCAAUUUUUAAUGUCAUAGUUUGAUUAAGAAAAACCGAGACCAGGCAACAAUUUAAAACCGAUAGAAAGUCAUCAAAAUAAUGUAACUUCAUGCCCUCCUUUACUUUAUUCAGUGAAAGUUUUGGUCUGUAUUCUUAAACUGUAUUAUGAGAAUGAUAUUUAUAUCAACUUCAUAUCCACGUAAAUCCAUUUUGAAUGUUAACUUAAUUUCUCAUAAUGUUGGGGACAUUUGCAUAUAAGUCUGCUAAUCCCCCUUAUGUCAUUUCUUUUUAGAAUAGCGGUUUUCAUUUAUUCUUUGUUGAUUUUAAAAUAAUAUGUUUUUUUUUAUCGUGACUGCUAAAUAGGGAAUUCAUUUAGUGGGGAAAAAAACAUUCGUAAAUUUUGAGUUACGAUCAUCUUUUUAUAAAAACAAGUCAAAGUUACGAUCAUCUGUAGACGAAGUUACGAUCAUCAUCGUGAUUUUUUGAAUCUCGAUUUUCGUUCUUCUGUUUGUUUUUCUGUAACUU
rnacentral:lncRNA from 1 species